AUUGAACGCUAGCGGCAUGCCUUACACAUGCAAGUCGAACGGCAGCGGACCUUCGGUGCCGGCGAGUGGCGAACGGGUGAGUAAUAUAUCGGAACGUACCUUUCAGUGGGGAGUAACGUAGCGAAAGUUACGCUAAUACCGCAUAUUCUGUGAGCAGGAAAGCAGGGGAGUCGCAAGACCUUGCGCUGAUUGAGCGGCCGAUAUCAGAUUAGCUAGUUGGUGAGGUAAAGGACUCACCAAGGCGACGAUCUGUAGCGGGUCUGAGAGGAUGAUCCGCCACACUGGAACUGAGACACGGUCCAGACUCCUACGGGAGGCAGCAGUGGGGAAUUUUGGUACGAAUAGGGCGGCGAAGACCUCGAUCCACGCCACUGCCGCCGUGAGUGAAGAAGGA
rnacentral:rRNA from 1 species